UAGGGAAUAUUGGUAAUCUGCGAAAGCGGGAACCAGCAACGCCGCGUGUGCGAAGAAGGCCUUCGGGUUGUAAAGCACUUUUCGGGAGGAAGAGGAAGGACUGUACUCCCGGAAUAAGUCUCGGCUAACUACGUGCCAGCAGCCGCGGUAAUACGUAGGAGGCUAACGUUAUUCGGAUUUACUGGGCGUAAAGCGCGUGCAGGCGGUUCGGUAAGUUGGACGUGAAAGCUCCCGGCUCAACUGGGAGAGGUCGUUCAAUACUGUCGGACUAGAGGAUGGUAGAGGGAGGUGGAAUUCCGGGUGUAGUGGUGAAAUGCGCAGAUAUCCGGAGGAACACCAGUGGCGAAAGCGGCCUCCUGGACCAUUCCUGACGCUCAGACGCGAAAGCUAGGGUAGCGAACGGG
rnacentral:rRNA from 1 species